AUCAGAGUUCAUUUUGUUUUCAAUAUUUUGGUUUCAAUGCUCAGCUUACAUGAUAUAUAUGUACAAAACCAAAACUUGUACAAAGCUGAAGCUCCAUUGAUGAAUCUAGGAGGCUAUUGUAGAAAGAAAAUUAACUGCAAUCAACUCAUUUAACAAAGUUCAUACCACCUUCUACAAUCAUUUCAGCAGUGGCACCCAUAGCGCCAAUACCACUACUACUCAAAAGAGCCAACGCUAACUCCUCCUCGCCCCACUGUUUCAAACCCAUACUGAUACUCUUCAAAACCUCUACAUCCACCUCUAGUAACCAGUUCGGUGUGCAUCUAACUAUCAAGCUGAUGAGCCCUGAGACGUAAGAUUUCCAAGUUGAUUUGUUGCAACCGAGGGAUAUUUUCCCAUGUAGAACACCUGCAACGAACUCCAAGUGUGCCUCGAGAGUACUUGACCGACGCUUGGCUGCAGGUGAUGAUGAAUCAACCCCCCAUGCAAACGUUCCGGAUAUCACUGCAAAGCAAGCAAGGGCUUUACCCCUUAGGGUUGCAACUAACCCUCCUGACAUCCCACCACUGGGCUCCAUGCCAUGUGCUGAUAUGAACCAAGAUGGCAAAGUUUCUUUCAUCAACGAUUGGACCAAAACUACACCACCUGUGA
rnacentral:misc_RNA from 1 species